AUUCUCGAAAAUAAAGGAUCUAUAUAAACUAUUUAGUUUCUGUAUCAACAGAAUUAAAAAAGUUAGUAUAGGGGUGAAACAUUAAUCGACUUUAUUUAUAUCUAGUAACUUCAGAAUAAAAUUUAGUUUAGACUUCUUAGAAUAAAUUUUUUUUUGUCGAAUUUUUAGUCUGAAGGGGAUGAGCUCUUUAGGCAAUUUAUAAAUUUUUUUCAUUUUAUUCUUUUUUUAGGCUUAGAAUUGGCUAAAAAAUAGUGUUAUAAAUUAGAGUUUUUUGUAAAUGAUUUAUGUACUUUUAAUUUUUUAUGAAGUUAUUAUUAAAACUUGAUUGGUAGAGUAAAUAUGAUAACAUUAGUAGAAUUUGUUUUAAAUAUUACUUAAAAUAUUUAUAAUAAUGUAUAAAAUAAAAGAAUUCGGCAAUUAUGAUUUCCGAAUGUUUAACAAAAACAUUUCCUCUUAAAAAAAGAGGUAAGGUCUGCUCACUGAAUUUUGAAGAGCCGCAGUAUAUUGACUGUGCUAAGGUAGCAUAAUCAUUAGUCUUUUAAUUGGAGACUGGUAUGAAUGGCUAAACGAGAAAUCACCUUUUUUUGUUCUAUAUAUCUAAUUUAUUUUUUUAGUGAAAAAACUAAAAUUUUCUAGAAAGACGAGAAGACCCUAUAGAGUUUUAUAUAGUAUAAGAUUAUAUAAUAUUAGGUUUUUAUUUAUAAGUUCUUUACCUAUAAUUUGUUGGGGCGACACUAAGAUACAAUAAACUCUUUUUUUCAUAAAACUUAUAUAUAAGAGUAGUUUGAUCCUUUAAAAAAGAUCACAGGAAAAAAUUACCUUAGGGAUAACAGCGUAAUCUUUUUUGAGAGUUCUAAUCGACAAGAAGGUUUGCGACCU
rnacentral:rRNA from 1 species